UACGGGGGGAGCAAGCGUUGUUCGGAUUUACUGAGCGUAAAGGGCGCGUAGGCGGCCACCGCAAGUCAAUUGUGAAAUCUCCGGGCUUAACUCGGAAAGGUCAACUGAUACUGCGGGGCUAGAGUGCGGAAGGGGCAACUGGAAUUCUCGGUGUAGCGGUGAAAUGCGUAGAUAUCGAGAGGAACACCUGCGGCGAAGGCGGGUUGCUGGGCCGACACUGACGCUGAGGAGCGAAAGCGUGGGGAGCGAACAGG
rnacentral:rRNA from 1 species